rnacentral:rRNA from 1 species
AAAUGAAUUGACGGGGCCCGCACAAGCGGUGGAGUAUGUGGUUUAAUUCGAUGCAACGCGAAGAACCUUACCUGGUCUUGACAUCCCGGAGACCCUUAGGAAACUAGGGGGUGCUUCCAUCUGGAAGAAUCUGGAGACAGGUGCUGCAUGGCUGUCGUCAGCUCGUGUCGUGAGAUGUUGGGUUAAGUCCCGCAACGAGCGCAACCCUUGCCUUUAGUUGCCAGCAGUUCGGCUGGGCACUCUAAAGGGACUGCCGGUGUUAAACCGGAGGAAGGUGGGGAUGACGUCAAGUCCUCAUGGCCUUUAUGACCAGGGCUACACACGUACUACAAUGGCCGAUACAAAGGGCAGCGACACUGCGAGGUGAAGCCAAUCCCGUAAAAUCGGUCUCAGUCCGGAUUGGAGUCUGCAACUCGACUCCAUGAAGUUGGAAUCGCUAGUAAUCGUGGAUCAGCAUGCCACGGUGAAUACGUUCCCGGGCCUU